rnacentral:rRNA from 1 species
GAUGAACGCUGGCGGCGUGCCUAAUACAUGCAAGUCGAGCGAAUGGAUUAAGAGCUUGCUCUUAUGAAGUUAGCGGCGGACGGGUGAGUAACACGUGGGUAACCUGCCCAUAAGACUGGGAUAACUCCGGGAAACCGGGGCUAAUACCGGAUAACAUUUUGAACCGCAUGGUUCGAAAUUGAAAGGCGGCUUCGGCUGGCACUUAUGGAUGGACCCGCGUCGCAUUAGCUAGUUGGUGAGGUAACGGCUCACCAAGGCAACGAUGCGUAGCCGACCUGCGAGGGUGAUCGGCCACACUGGGACUGAGACACGGCCCAGACUCCUACGGGAGGCAGCAGUAGGGAAUCUUCCGCAAUGGACGAAAGUCUGACGGAGCAACGCCGCGUGAGUGAUGAAGGCUUUCGGGUCGUAAAACUCUGUUGUUAGGGAAGAACGAGUGCUAGUUGAAUAAGCUGGCACCUUGACGGUACCUAACCAGAAAGCCACGGCUAACUACGUGCCAGCCGCCGCGGUAA